GAUGAACGCUGGCGGCGUGCCUAAUACAUGCAAGUCGAGCGAACAGACGAGGAGCUUGCUCCUCUGACGUUAGCGGCGGACGGGUGAGUAACACGUGGAUAACCUACCUAUAAGACUGGGAUAACUUCGGGAAACCGGAGCUAAUACCGGAUAACAUGUUGAACCGCAUGGUUCAACAGUGAAAGACGGUUUUGGUGUCACUUAAAGAUGGCUCCGCGCCGCAUUAGCUAGUUGGUAAGGUAAAGGAUUACCAAGGCAACGAUGCGUAGCCGACCUGAGAGGGUGAUCGGCCACACUGGAACUGAGACACGGUCCAGACUCCUACGGGAGGCAGCAGUAGGGAAUCUUCCGCAAUGGGCGAAAGCCUGACGGAGCAACGCCGCGUGAGUGAAGAAGGUCUUCGGAUCGUAAAACUCUGUUAUUAGGGAAGAACAAAUGUGUAAGUAACUAUGCACGUCUUGACGGUACCUAAUCAGAAAGCCACGGCUAACUACGUG
rnacentral:rRNA from 1 species